AGAUUAAGUUAUUAAGGGCGCACGGUGGAUGCCUUGGCACUAGAAGCCGAUGAAGGACGUUACUAACGACGAUAUGCUUUGGGGAGCUGUAAGUAAGCUUUGAUCCAGAGAUUUCCGAAUGGGGAAACCCAGCAUGAGUUAUGUCAUGUUAUCGAUAUGUGAAUACAUAGCAUAUCAGAAGGCACACCCGGAGAACUGAAACAUCUUAGUAACCGGAGGAAGAGAAAGAAAAUUCGAUUCCCUUAGUAGCGGCGAGCGAAACGGGAAGAGCCCAAACCAACAAGCUUGCUUGUUGGGGUUGUAGGACACUCUAUACGGAGUUACAAAGGACGACAUUAGACGAAUCAUCUGGAAAGAUGAAUCAAAGAAGGUAAUAAUCCUGUAGUCGAAAAUGUUGUCUCUCUUGAGUGGAUCCUGAGUACGACGGAGCACGUGAAAUUCCGUCGGAAUCUGGGAGGACCAUCUCCUAAGGCUAAAUACUCUCUAGUGACCGAUAGUGAACCAGUACCGUGAGGGAAAGGUGAAAAGCACCCCGGAAGGGGAGUGAAAUAGAACCUGAAACCGUGUGCUUACAAGUAGUCAGAGCCCGUUAAUGGGUGAUGGCGUGCCUUUUGUAGAAUGAACCGGCGAGUUACGAUUUGAUGCAAGGUUAAGCAGUAAAUGUGGAGCCGUAGCGAAAGCGAGUCUGAAUAGGGCGUUUAGUAUUUGGUCGUAGACCCGAAACCAGGUGAUCUACCCUUGGUCAGGUUGAAGUUCAGGUAACACUGAAUGGAGGACCGAACCGACUUACGUUGAAAAGUGAGCGGAUGAACUGAGGGUAGCGGAGAAAUUCCAAUCGAACCUGGAGAUAGCUGGUUCUCUCCGAAAUAGCUUUAGGGCUAGCCUCAAGUGAUGAUUAUUGGAGGUAGAGCACUGUUUGGACGAGGG
rnacentral:rRNA from 1 species